GACGAACGCUGGCGGCGUGCUUAACACAUGCAAGUCGAACGGAAAGGCCUGCUUUCCCUUGUGGAUUGCGGGUACUCGAGUGGCGAACGGGUGAGUAACACGUGAGUGAUCUGCCCCCAACUUGGGUAUAAGCCUGGGAAACUGGGUCUAAUUCCCGAUAGGACUGCAGGGUGGUGCCUGUGGUGGAACACGAUUUUCUAGUGGUUGGGGAUGAGCUCGCGGCCUAUCAGCUUGUUGGUGGGGUAAUGGCCUACCAAGGCGGCGACGGGUAGCCGGCCUGAGAGGGUGGACGGCCACAUUGGGACUGAGAUACGGCCCAGACUCCGACGGGAGGCAGCAGUGGGGAAUAUUGCACAAUGGGCGGAAGCCUGAUGCAGCGACGCCGCGUGGGGGAUGACGGACUUCGGGUUGUAAACUCCUUUCGACCGCGAGGAAGCCACCUGGUUGGAAGGGUGGUGACGGUAGUGGUAGAAGAAGCACCGGCUAACUACGUG
rnacentral:rRNA from 1 species